rnacentral:rRNA from 1 species
UACAGAGGUCUCAAGCGUUGUUCGGAUUCAUUGGGCGUAAAGGGUGUGUUGGUGGCGCGCUAAGUCGGGUGUGAAAUUUCGGAGCUUAACUCCGAAACUGCAUUCGAUACUGGCGUGCUUGAGGACUGGAGAGGAGACUGGAAUUCAUGGUGUAGCAGUGAAAUGCGUAGAUAUCGGAAGGAACACCAGUGGCGAAGGCGGCUUCCUGGACCAAUACUGACGCUGAGGUGCGAAAGCGUGGGGAGCAAACAGG